rnacentral:rRNA from 1 species
CAGCACCUCAAGUGGUCAGGAUGAUUAUUGAGCCUAAAGCGUCCGUAGCCGGACUAGUAAACCCUUGGGUAAAUUGGGCAGCUUAACUGUCCAAAUUCCGAGGGGACUGCUAGUCUUGGGACCGGGAGAGGUCAGAGGUACUCAAGGGGUAGGGGCUAAAUCCUGUAAUCCUUUGGGGACCACCAGUGGCGAAGGCGUCUGACUAGAACGGAUCCGACGGUAAGGGACGAAACCCUGGGGCGCGAACCGGAUUAGAUACCCGAGUAGUCC